UUAUUAUAACAACGAAGGCACUACGCCCAUAGUCGAAAAUUCUAUUUUCGGCGGCGUGCACUCUGGGCCUCGCGGUGCACAGUGACGUUGCUCGAUGAUCUAUGUUGGAAGCCAUACUCGUUGCUUUGUAACUUGUUGAGCUCAARACAUGGAGACUCGGGUGACGAUGAGGCAUUGCUGUGGAGGAUGAACCCGUUGCUGUGGUGGACGAAAUGUUGCUGUGGAGAACGACGAAGGUGCUGCGUUGGUUGAUGAAAAUCUUCCAACGACGUGGUAUUGUAGGUCUCGCAAUGCCAUAUGUCUAGUUGCUUGAUGAUCUAUGUUGGAAGCUUUACAUGUUGCUUUUGCGACUUGUUGUGCCUAAAACAUGGUGAAUUGGGUGACGAARAGACCUUGAUGCGGAGGAGGACGAUGAGGACGUUGAUGCAGAGGAGGAUGAAGAUGAUGCUGCGUUGGUUGAUGAAAGUCUUCCAACGACGUGGUAUUGUGGGCCUCGCAAUGCCAUAUGUCACGUUGCUCUGAACGUUCCGGUUUGAAGCUGUACUUGUUUGUUGUGCUUCAUUUCGGUGAUCUCGUGCAACGACGAGGCAUGUUGGYUUGAUGAAAGUCUUCCAACGACGUGGUAUUGUGGGCCUCGCAAUGCCAUAUGUNACUGUUACUCUGAAUGACCCGAUUUGAASCUGUACUUGUUUGUUGUGCUUCAAUUUGGUGAACUUGUACAACGACGAGGCAUGGUCGCUUACUUUUGUGUGAUAUUCUUCUCGUAUCGUUCGGUGCAUUUUGGGGUCAUUUCAACAUUUGGUUGUUUUCUUGGCUUUUAGCUAGGGUGGUGACAAAAUGUUGGGUGACUUCGGGGAUGUCUACCGUAAAGGUGCAUGAGUGGUAUUUGGUUUGUUACGGGUGGUUGGCUCUUGCUUGCGCAACAACUUCCMCCUGGCUUACCUYUUCAGUUGCUUGCCAAUGCUUGUAAAGUAUUGGUUGGAUUGUGGGUUUCAUGUGUUGCCUACCGAAUUGAUGGUAUCGUAUUCUUAAAGAAUUCCAUUUUUUCAUCUUAUGUCGCAAAUGCGUUGUGUGAUGAGAACCUUGAAGCAUUCUUUAUGKACCACUCUUUUAAUGCUUACGUGUUAAUCGUGUGGCUCAUUUUGAGUUGCUUGGUAUCAUGAUUAUGGAACUCGAUGGGGGCAUGGGAUGUUUAUAUAUCCCUUGGUUGCCCUG
rnacentral:misc_RNA from 1 species